AUUGACUUCAGAGGAGGAGCGGAGUCUUCAGGUCCGAGGAUCCAUCAGGAACCAGAAGAGUCUGGACUCUGCUGUGACUCUCUGAAGAGUCAUGUCUCCAAGCAUCUCGGGAUUGACUUCAAAGCUGAAGAGUCUCCGGAGGAGAGAGAGGACCAUCAGAGCUCAGAGCUUCUCAGUGGUCAGCAACAUCCAGACUCUGCACGGCAGCGGCUGGAGGAGAAGUUCCUCAGCUAUGUGAGCAGAGUCUGGAGGCUUCUGGGUCCAGAUGAGCCAGACCCUCCAGAGACUGAGGAAGAGGAGCAAUGGAGGGGCAUCAG